GGGGCUGUAGCUCAGUGGUAGAGCGCUUACCUAGCCUGUGUGAGGCCCUGGGUUCCAUCCCCAGCACCA
rnacentral:tRNA from 1 species